UUCAAUCCAACCUAACUGUUUGUCAUCCUUAUACCUAUGAAAGGCGACUUUUUAUUUCUUUCACAAUAAGGGAAAGGAAUUCACUGCAAAAACUAUACAAGGGUCGAAAUACACUGAAAUCAACAAAACAUUUACACCAAAAUCAUGAUUCUCAUAUGGACAAUAAUACCCUUUACUACACUCUGGAUUUACCAAAACUGAGUACUCUUUCCUCUUUUUUAUAACCAUAUUGUUCGUAUCAACUUACACGCAUCUUGAUUAAUUUUAUGAAAUACUCGCUCUGUCUCUUUAGGUUAAGAUUGCUGAAUUUCUUCGGCAAGAGAGAGAGCUACCACUAAAAGAGAACAUUGAAGAUAAAGAUUGAGCCAAAGUCAAAACAAUGGCCACCUUCACUUGACCUCUUUUUGGAAUGGGUCGGCCAUGAACAAGCUUUCUUGACAAUUUUCUGCCAUUAUUUAUCAUCUCUUUAUUCUGAGCUCCUUUCAUUUUUUUUCUUACUACAGAAAUUCUUGAACGCCAAACAAUAGAUUGACUGAUGCUUUAUGUUUGUGGCCCUUAC
rnacentral:lncRNA from 1 species